UAAAAACCGUACACUUUUCCAUCUCCGAAAUUCUUGGUCACACGUUCUCUCCAUCGUUGCAUCUUCUUCUUCUUCUUCGUCUUCUCCAAAACAACGAAAUCAACAAAGAGGAGAACUCAAAAAAAUGUCAGACAUCAAUCCAGAAUUCGAAUCAUCGUCAUCCUUCAACACACUAAACACCGACGUAACCGAAUCAAUCCUCUCCCAUCUCCCAAUCCCUUCCUUAGUCCGUUUCACUCUCGUCUCCAAGCUAUGGCGUUCAAUCAUAACCUCUCUUCCUCCUCCUCCAUCUUCAUCAUCACCAUGGCUCUUCCUCUUCGGUAUCCACAACACUUGCUCUUUCCACAACCAAUCCUUCGCUUUCGAUCCUCUCUCCAACUCCUGGCUCCGUCUCCCUUCCUCCUCCUCUUCCUCCGAUCACCUCGUCGGAUCUGAUCGCUUCCUCUUCACCACCGCUCCUCGUUUCUCCUUCUCACCGAUCCUCAAACCUAAUUGGCGAUUCACUUCCCCUGUUCGGUUUCCUCGAAUCAACCCUCUGUUAAGCGUCUUCACGGCUCGUUCCGGCUCAUCCAAGCUGAUCCUCGUCGGUGGAUCAUCGCGAAUCGGCGGAUUAGUCGAUAUCGAGGAACGAUUAGCUGUACAAAUCUAUGAUCCGGUUAUUGACUCGUGGGAGCUCUGUACACCACUCCCUGCUGAUUUCAGAUCUGGUCAGGAUCAUCAGACUCUAACCUCGGCUCUGUUUAGGAGAAGGUUCUACGUUUUCGAUAACUAUUCCUACUUUAUAUCGUCGUUUUGCUUGGAUUCUUAUACCUGGAGUGAUGUUCAAACGCUUAAACCACCUGGACUCUCGUUUGCGUUCUUGAAUUCGUGUAACGGUAUGCUUGUUCUCGGUGGGAUGUGUGGUUUCUCGUUUAAUCUAUGGAGAAUCGAAGAAGGUUCUAUGGAGUUUAGCGAAAUCGCGGUUAUGCCUGAGGAUUUGUUGUUUGGAUUAGUUGAUAAUGAGGAUGAUGAGGAAGAGGAUAGUAACAAGUUUAGGAGUUUGAAAUGUGUUGGCUCUGGGAAUCUUGUUUAUGUGUUUAAUGAUGAUUGUCAUAAGAAGUUUCCAGCUUGUGUUUGUGAGAUUGGUGGUGAGAAUGGCAAGUGUAGUUGGAGAAGAGUGCCUCGUUUGCCUUCUCCUGUUAAUAAGUUUCAUAAAGUUGUUAGUUUCUGCUCUACUGUAUCUAUUAGCGAUGUUUUCCACCCCGAGGAUGCUCAGAUUGGUGGUUUGAUCCGCGUUUGAGUUUAUGCUUACUCAUGCCACUGAUCCAGGGUAAGAUGACUUCGACUUUGAACGCUAGCAGCGGAGAUGUGAAGGCAGAGGCGAUAAUUUUUCAGCAGACAGCAGCCGAGGGGUCAAAACCACAGGAUUUGGCUGCCAACCUCGAGAUUCAAGGUCGGUACCGCAGCCAGCAUCAUAGACCUCCUCAUUCAAAGCGGAGGGCUUCCAGACAUUCAAAGCCGUGGUCCAAACCACAGCAUGUGUUAUAUCAAAACGAUGAGGGGAUGCUUAUCGCCCACGAGAAAUUUUUUCGUUUGCUCGAGGAAGCCCGUCCUGUGAUCCAAGAAAUGAUGCGUUCAGGCGUUCAGCUUUGAAUGCUAGCCAUGGAGAUGUGAAGCAGGCAGAGGUGGAGGUGAAGAUUCCGAAGCAGCCUGCAGCGAAGAUGGUGGUGGAGCCGAUAGCAUCCACGGUAUUCUUGAGUGACUCAGACGAGGAGGCGAUAGUUACCGCCCACGAGAAAUAUAUACGCUUGCUCGAGGAAGCCGGUCGUGACAUCCAAAAUAAGAUGACUUUGACUCUGAACGAUGGAGAUGUGAAGGCAGAGGCCAACCUCGAGGUUCAAGGUCUGUACUGCAGCCAGCAGCGUAGACCUCCUCAUUCAAAGCGCAGGGCUUCCAGACAUUCAAAGCCGUGGUCUAAAUCACAGCAUGUGUUAUUUCAAAACAAUGAGGAAGCCGGUCCGGAGAUCCAGGAUAAGAUGAGUUCAUCUUUGAAUGCUACCUAUGAAGAUGUGAACGCGGAGGAGAUGAUUUUGCAGCAGCCGGGGAAGGCGUCGCCGACCUCGAGUAACUAAUGAUUGAACCCAAAAUUCAUCUGUUAAUUUCUAUCUAGUGACUUCUUGAUGCUAACGAAUUAAUAUGAAUUAUUCGAUGAUGC